GACGAACGCUGGCGGCAUGCCUAACACAUGCAAGUCGAACGGAGAUUAUUUCGGUAAUCUUAGUGGCGAACGGGUGAGUAACGCGUAGGCAACCUGCCCUUUAGUUGGGGACAACAUCCCGAAAGGGGUGCUAAUACCGAAUGUGACAGUUUUUCCGCAUGGGAUUACUGUGAAAGAUGGCCUCUAUUUAUAAGCUAUCGCUAAAGGAUGGGCCUGCGUCUGAUUAGCUAGUUGGUGGGGUAACGGCCUACCAAGGCGACGAUCAGUAGCCGGUCUGAGAGGAUGAACGGCCACAUUGGGACUGAGACACGGCCCAGACUCCUACGGGAGGCAGCAGUGGGGAAUCUUCCGCAAUGGGCGAAAGCCUGACGGAGCAAUGCCGCGUGAGUGAUGAAGGAAUUCGUUCCGUAAAGCUCUUUGUUUAUGAAGAAGGAUAGAGGUAGUAACUGGCCUUUAUUUGACGGUAAUCAACCAGAAAGUCACGGCUAACUACGUG
rnacentral:rRNA from 1 species